rnacentral:rRNA from 1 species
GACGAACGCUGGCGGCGUGCUUAACACAUGCAAGUCGAACGGAAAGGCCCUGCUUUUGUGGGUUGCUCGAGUGGCGAACGGGUGAGUAACACGUGAGUAACCUGCCCUUGACUUUGGGAUAACUUCAGGAAACUGGGGCUAAUACCGGAUAGGAUCUCCUGCUGCAUGGUGGGUGUUGGAAAGUUUCGGCUGUUGGGGAUGGACUCGCGGCUUAUCAGCUUGUUGGUGGGGUAGUGGCUUACCAAGGCUUUGACGGGUAGCCGGCCUGAGAGGGUGACCGGCCACAUUGGGACUGAGAUACGGCCCAGACGCCUACGGGAGGCAGCAGUGGGGAAUAUUGCACAAUGGGCGGAAGCCUGAUGCAGCAACGCCGCGUGCGGGAUGACGGCCUUCGGGUUGUAAACCGCUUUCGCCUGUGACGAAGCGUGAGUGACGGUAAUGGGUAAAGAAGCACCGGCUAACUACGUG